rnacentral:rRNA from 1 species
GACAGAGGGUGCAAACGUUGCUCGGAAUUACUGGGCGUAAAGCGCGCGCAGGCGGCCUUUUAAGUCUGAUGUGAAAGCCCACGGCUCAACCGUGGAAGGUCAUUGGAAACUGGAAGGCUUGAGUACAGAAGAGGAAAGCGGAAUUCCACGUGUAGCGGUGAAAUGCGUAGAGAUGUGGAGGAACACCAGUGGCGAAGGCGGCUUUCUGGUCUGUAACUGACGCUGAGGCGCGAAAGCGUGGGGAGCAAACAGG